rnacentral:lncRNA from 1 species
UCUCUUCCCCUUGUCCUCCCACCUUCUCUCUGUCACACCAAUUAAGAGGCAUGCUUUCUUGGAUUUAUUUAGGAAAGUGAAGUUGAUUAAUGUACGAGCUAAAGAUUGCAUAGUUGUUGAGGUUUGAAGGAUAAGUGAAAACCUUGUUCAUUAAAUGAAGGGGAAUAUACUAAAUGUUGCAUGCUUUCUGCAAAUUCAGAAAAUGCUAUUAUAUUUGCCUGAUGAGAUGACUUGUUUUUUGCCAC